rnacentral:tRNA from 1 species
GCCCGGGUAGCUCAGUCGGCAGAGCGGCUCACUCGUAAUGAGCAGGUCAGGGGUUCGAUUCCCCUCUCGGGCUCCA